UCCCGAAUAGCUCAGUUGGUAGAGCAAGCGACUGUUAAUCGCUCGGUCGUAGGUUCGAGUCCUACUUCGGGAGCCA
rnacentral:tRNA from 16 species